rfam:Rattus norvegicus chromosome 2, whole genome shotgun sequence.
GUAGGCUAUGGUGACAUGUGCCCGACCACCCCAGGAGGGAAGAUUGUGGGUACACUGUGUGCCAUUGCCGGUGUCCUCACUAUUGCCCUCCCUGUGCCUGUCAUUGUCUCCAAU